UUUUCAAUGACCGGAUCUGGGAAGAGAAAUGCCAUCGUUCAACAUGGGACCAAAUUUGUUGGUAACAGUGCCAUUAGCAUGGGAUUUUCUGACCUACAAAGUGGAUUUACAAUCAACAUGCCCUUUCAUCCUUAGUUUGAUGAAGUUGAUUAUGAUGACAAUAAAUAUGUUGGGGAACUGACAAUCUGCUUUUUCCAGAAGAGGCAGUUUUGGAGAUUUCAUCUUUUAAAUUAACUCUCAGAAAUACAAAGACAAAAUGGAGGAAAGUAGACACUGAGGUGUUGAGAUGGUGACCCAAGGCAAAGUUUGCCCAAUGAGGGACAGUGGCACUACAAGACCACAAACUCUUCAGUCCGGGAAAGUGAACAUGGUUUUCGAUUACUGGUGUGCCCGGCUCAAAACUUGUUAAGCAGGAUAUCAGAAGGAAAAGGAAUCUUCAAAUUGGUUGAUAUCUUGAGUUCAGAAUCAACAGAUCCUGAUGCUCAUUGAACCUAGAGUUCCAAUCCUCUGUCACCAAGAGUAUGGCCUUACUUCUUUGAAGGCAGAGAAUAGUUCAUCUCCCAGUGUCCUCUAGAAGGAAGAAGACACAUUUCAUUCCAUCUAUAACACAGCAAAUGAAGAAGAAUCCACAGGGGCACAUUAAAAUUGCCUGAUAUUUUCAUGAAAAGACACUGUCUUGCUUAAACAUGUUCUCCUGGCUUAAUUCUCC
rnacentral:lncRNA from 1 species